rnacentral:tRNA from 1 species
GCAUCGGUGGUUCAGUGGUAGAAUGCUCGCAUGCCACGCGGGCGGCCGGCGUUCGAUUCACGGCCGAUGCA